AUGAACGCUGGCGGCGUGCCUAAUACAUGCAAGUCGAGCGAACAGACGAGGAGCUUGCUCCUCUUACGUUAGCGGCGGACGGGUGAGUAACACGUGGAUAACCUACCUAUAAGACUGGGAUAACUUCGGGAAACCGGAGCUCAUACCGGAUAAUAUAUUGAACCGCAUGGUUCAAUAGUGAAAGACGGUUUUGCUGUCACUUAUAGAUGGAUCCGCGCCGCAUUAGCUAGUUGGUAAGGUAACGGCUUACCAAGGCAACGAUGCGUAGCCGACCUGAGAGGGUGAUCGGCCACACUGGAACUGAGACACGGUCCAGACUCCUACGGGAGGCAGCAGUAGGGAAUCUUCCGCAAUGGGCGAAAGCCUGACGGAGCAAUGCCGCGUGAAUGAUGAAGGUCUUCGGAUCGUAAAACUCUGUUAUUAGGGAAGAACAAAUGUGUAAGUAACUAUGCACGUCUUGACGGUACCUAAUCAGAAAGCCACGGCUAACUACGUG
rnacentral:rRNA from 1 species